rnacentral:tRNA from 1 species
CAUUAAGAAGCUAUAUAGCACUAACCUUUUAAGUUAGAGAUUGGGAAUUUUAGCUUCCCCUUAAUGA